CAAAAGCCAAACAUCUGUAUUAGGGAGUUUAGAUGUUGGACUUUUGUUCAUUGCUCAAAACAGCUGUCUCUGCUUUGUGUUGCUUAAAUAAUCUAAGAUUAAAUAUUUCAAUGGGAUAUGGCUAGGGAAAAAUGCAGUGAGACCAAUGAUAUUGGCCUAUCUGUUGCUGUUAGUGACAUUGAAUGAUGGCAUAUGAUACAUGGAAUCUGACCUCCAAAUACCCAUAAACAUUACAGCAGAAGUGGGAAACUCAUUGUGAGGCAUUAUCUUAAUAUCUUAAUGGCUUGGGUAGUAUGCUUCUAGUCCAUGGCCUUUUAACCAGAGUUUAGAAAUAAAUCAUUAAUUUUCAUUUGUUAACAAUUUUCUUUUUGGGGUGUGUGUGUGGCUAUUGCGGCCAAAAGGCAGUAAUGUAACAUUUUCAUCAUAUGUAAAUUUUUCUAUGUAACGUUACCAAGUCUAAUCAUUGUUAAUCAUCAUUAUGCCUUCUGCCUAAGAAGACAUAAGUUUUGGUUGUUCUUCUUUUGGUGUUAAAGGCUAUUUGACAUGCUGAUUCCUAAUUGAAAAGGUGUUGCAUGUGAUUGUAUUAAUUCAUAAAAGUCAACCAAUAAUCAGGACUGAAGAGCAAGAUAGAUCCAUGAUCUUGGAUGCACCACAUGGGAGGAAAUACGACAGAAGGAAUGGCAAAAGCAGUUUCUGCACAUGAGCCAUUGCUUGAGGAUAAUUUCUGGGAAUUAUGCCAUUGAGCCAUGUCAACUGGCUUUGUGAAUCAUCUUGGCUGUUUCCUUCCUGCAGUUCUCCUUGGAUAUCUUCUGUUGCACAUAAACAUGGCUACAGUAAAAAUAUACAAAUUUGAACCAAUAGCUUUAGUGUCUUCUGUUCCUGAAGUAUCUUCAGUGUCUUCUGUUCAGUCAGUGUUCAAAGGUCACGUAAUUACCAUCAGUUGGCAUACUUCAAGGACACUCAAAACAAUGUCACAAAAAUAUUUGUGUUGACAGUGAACAUUGCCAAAAACAGUCCACACAAUGUUUAUCUCUGAGCACCACACAAGGUUGAGUUUCAGAAGACAUAUGCCAACUAUCUUUUUAUUUUUAUUUUUAUUCUUUGUCUACUUAGUAUACAAAGCACAGGGGCUGACUAGUUUGUUUCUUUGAAGUUGCUUUCUUCCAAAUAUAUUGCAAAUGUAAACUACUUUUUAGUUAUGCUUGUUAGCUGUGCAGUGUGAGGCCUUUGAUGUCAGUUUGCCUGUAGUACAUAAAAACCAUUUUACAUUGCAACAUCAGAAUAAAACGUGGUGCAGAUUUUAUUUUAUAGGCUGC
rnacentral:lncRNA from 1 species